rnacentral:rRNA from 1 species
UACGGGGGGGGCAAGCGUUGUUCGGAAUUACUGGGCGUAAAGGGCGCGUAGGCGGCCAACUAAGUCAGACGUGAAAUCCCUCAGCUUAACUGGGGAACUGCGUCUGAUACUGGAAGGCUUGAAUCCGGGAGAGGGAUGCGGAAUUCCAGGUGUAGCGGUGAAAUGCGUAGAUAUCUGGAGGAACACCGGUGGCGAAGGCGGCAUCCUGGACCGGCAUUGACGCUGAGGCGCGAAAGCGUGGGGAGCGAACAGG